rnacentral:lncRNA from 1 species
UUUGAGGACAUGCAAAGUUUUAUAUGGGCUUCAUUUGCUCUUUAGCAUUUAUUACAAUUCAUUACAUAGAGUCGGGCACCACACCUCACUUUAUUUCCAGGUCAAUUUGCCUGUCUCUAAUCAUUCGCAUAAAACACAAUAAUCAUAAAUAGAAAACACAAUUUGCUCUUUAGCAUUUAUUACAAUUCAUUACAUAGAGUCGGGCACCACACCUCACUUUAUUUCCAGGUCAAUUUGCCUGUCUCUAAUCAUUCGCAUAAAACACAAUAAUCAUAAAUAGAAAACACCCAAAUAACAUGCAACCGGUGACAUUAAUUAAGAGCUAGCUAGAAACU